ACCUGAAAGAGACCCAACCAUUCCUGAAAUGGGACCAAGGCGGCUUUUAUUUCUAAGAUAGUAGAAAAGAGAUCAAUCUAUUAUAAAACAAAACCUUUCUGGACCACCUUUUGGAGAAAAGCUAAGUACAUUAGCCUUAGGUUUCUAUAAAAGGCUUUCUGAAGAAACGAACUAAAAUUAAAAGAACAGCAGGAGGUCAUUUCCAUGUUGGCAAACUCAUUAUCAGGGCCUUGACUUGGUGCAGGUAUCUGGAUCAGAGCCUGGGGUUUGGGCCCAGCAGUUCCUCAUAAUCCAUCCCAUGGUCUGAAGCACAUCACCUGCCCUCGAGACAUCCCAUCUCCAUUUGGAGGUGAGGCAGGCAGGCAUUCUGUAAACUUAAAAGCUCUAUGUACAUGUUCUUUCCAGAACCCAGCAAAGUUGCACAUCUUUCUCCCUAGGCAACUUGACAAAUGUCCAGAGGACAGCUGCCAAGACGGGUUAAGAUAUUGUAAAUAUCCCUUCAGAAAGGUUAAGGGAUUUGACUGAAGAAGAAAAAUGGAAUAAUUAUCUUCAAAAAGAUGAAGAGCUUUCAUCCAUAGCUGGUGAAAACACAGGGACCACAUGUUUCCGGUCUGCACUAAGCUUCGACAGGAUGAAUGUCUUUCUGGAACUACUUCAUCUGAGCAAGGGUGAGGAAGACAGAAAUAAUGGGAUCGAACCGUGGCUUGUUCCGAACUAUGCUGAAGACAAUUUUAUAAUCCCUGUUGGGUCUAAACUCCCUCACUGCCUUCCCCUUAAACUGUUCCCUGAACACCCUGCCAAGGUAACUAUGCUCACCUCCAAGCCU